UACCCCCCUGUAUGGUUAAGACUAUGGAUAAACUAUUUUGCAGAUUACACUGCUAAAUUAUAGUAGCUGGAGGUAGAAAGCGGUAUCCAGAUUGGAACGUGCUCUGAAUCUGGCGCUUUCCCACCACUCAUACGUCAUCAUUGCGCGCCUGAACGAGAAUCACAAAGCGGCAUUUCUUUCCCAUUGAAUGGGCAGUAGAAAAAAAACAGCGUAGAAUAGACACACUAACCUCUCGGUUAAUUCGUUACAGGAUAUUAUUAAAAUCGGAAAUAUUUAGAAAUGAUUGAUACCAUCGAAAAAGAAGACAAUAUUAUCAGCGAGGAGGAGGCUGCACAAUAUGAUCGACAGAUUCGCCUUUGGGGUCUCGAUGCUCAAAAGAGACUUAGGGGAUCACGGGUACUUCUUGUUGGUCUCCGGGGUCUUGGUGCAGAAGUAGCAAAGAACCUUAUUUUGGCUGGGGUCAAAGGACUGACUCUCCUGGACCAUGAGCAGGUAUC